AUGGCUGCAACAAACUGUGAAUGAAAGUGUCUUUGUUUUACAGAACUGACGCUGUGCCACCAUGUGUGACUCUCCAUAUCAGUGUCUGUUACUAAGCUGCUUACUGCUCAGAGCCAUGUGUCUUUGCAUUACACUGUAACAUACUCCACUGGAUAAUCCAAUCUCCGCAACACACGGACAAAGUGCCACUGUGCACACAUAAUGAGAAACUGCUGUCUGAUAACACAGGCUCGUCAAAUGACUGAUAAGGAUGGAGACUGACUGAGAGGAAAACACAACAAGACAUCCAUCUUCAUCAGAGCAAAGACAAAGCAGAUACACAGAGUAAACAGACACCGUAUAAUUACAGCACAGACGCAGGCAGGAAGCACCUACCCAGAGUGGAUCUGUUCUUGCAGACGAGCCAGCAGUGGUAGGUCAGAAGAGAAGCCAGGCUGACGGAGAACGUGGAGGCCGAGAAGAAGAGGAACAGGAUGUGGAACUUAGCUUGAGUGUCUGGGAGGCCGUUCUGAGGGGGAGUAACAGCAUCAACAGAGCAGACACUUUGAGCCUGUGGGACCUGAGGGAUUUCUACUCUACUGGUGUUCUUGAGGAGCUUAUUAAAGGAAUACUUCACCUCUAACAUUAUUCUUUGUUAAAUGAAUCUCCCCAUGUUACAUUGAAUCAUUUAAGGAAACUUCAAUGCCUGUACGGUGAACACAUUAAAAAACGGAGAAGUAUUGCCAGACUUACCAGCCAGAACUUGAUGAAGUACUGAAGAUCUGUGGCGGUUAUAAAAAGGCAGUAGAGGAGUGAAUAUGCCAAGAACAGCAUGAAGAACUUGUAGUUGGCGAACCCCACACAGUUGUUCACCCUGCAGCGAGGAUGGAGAUCGUCUCCAUUUCAUCCCAAGUUUUCACAGAGGAGAUCUGCUUUCCGAGUGUUCUGAGAUGCUGCCAAAUAGAGCACAUGAGUUGGCUGCUGAGACUCCUCUGAGAUAUCCUAGAAACCAUAACUCAAUAUCCAGGUCAACUCUGUAUUCACGGCUCACCGAGAAGGAAGCUCUCCGUCUGGAACCGACCAUCCAACGUUCAGCAGCCGAUGGAACGUGAAGGAAGGAGGCCGGCCUGACUCUAAUGCCAUUACAGUCAGAGAUCUUGCCAAUAGAUAAUGCUGGUUCAACAAGUCCUCCAACUCAUACGACCAAAUGGGCCGAUUGUUCAAGCCCUUAUUACGACCAAAUAUGUCGUUUGUUCAAGCGAUUAAUACGACCUAUAAUUACGUUUUAAAAGUUGUCGGCCU